GACUAAGGUUCGAUUCGAGCGCAGCGAGAAAGCGUUGCCGCAGGCAACGACCCGAAGGGCGAAGCGCGCAGCGCUGAGUAAUCCUUCCCCUACCACCA
rnacentral:sRNA from 1 species